rnacentral:rRNA from 1 species
AGUGAACGCUGGCGGUAGGCCUAACACAUGCAAGUCGAACGGCAGCACAGUAAGAGCUUGCUCUUACGGGUGGCGAGUGGCGGACGGGUGAGGAAUACAUCGGAAUCUACUUUUUCGUGGGGGAUAACGUAGGGAAACUUACGCUAAUACCUCAUACGACCUACGGGUGAAAGCAGGGGAUCUUCGGACCUUGCGCGAUUGAAUGAGCCGAUGUCGGAUUAGCUAGUUGGCGGGGUAAAGGCCAACCAAGGCGACGAUCCGCAGCUGGUCUGAGAGGAUGAUCAGCCACACUGGAACUGAGACACGGUCCAGACUCCUACGGGCGGCAGCAGUGGGGAAUAUUGGACAAUGGGCGCAAGCCUGAUCCAGCCAUACCGCGUGGGUGAAGAAGGCCUUCGGGUUGUAAAGCCCUUUUGUUGGGAAAGAAAAGCAGCAGGUUAAUACCCCGCUGUUCUGACGGUACCCAAAGAAUAAGCACCGGCUAACUUCGUG